rnacentral:rRNA from 1 species
UGGCAGUGGAAACUGAUAGGCUUGAGUAUGGUAGGGGCAGAGGGAAUUCCCGGUGUAGCGGUGAAAUGCGUAGAUAUCGGGAAGAACACCAGUGGCGAAGGCGCUCUGCUGGGCCAUUACUGACGCUCAUGGACGAAAGCCAGGGGAGCGAAAGGGAUUAGAUACCCCUGUAGUCCUGGCCGUAAACGAUGAACACUAGGUGUCGGGGGAAUCGACCCCUUCGGUGUCGUAGCUAACGCGUUAAGUGUUCCGCCUGGGGAGUACGCACGCAAGUGUGAAACUCAAAGGAAUUGACGGGGGCCCGCACAAGCGGUGGAGUAUGUGGUUUAAUUCGAUGCAACGCGAAGAACCUUACCAGGGUUUGACAUCCUGCGAACCUCUUAGAAAUUUGAGGGUGCCUUCGGGAAUGCAGUGACAGGUGGUGCAUGGCUGUCGUCAGCUCGUGUCGUGAGAUGUUGGGUUAAGUCCCGCAACGAGCGCAACCCACGUUUUUAGUUGCCAGCAUUUAGUUGGGCACUCUAGAAAGACCGCCGGUGAUAAACCGGAGGAAGGUGUGGAUGACGUCAAGUCAUCAUGCCCCUUACACCCUGGGCUACACACGUACUACAAUGCUACGGACAAAGGGCAGCAAACUCGCGAGAGCUAGCAAAUCCCAUAAACCGUGGCUCAGUUCAGAUCGUAGGCUGCAACUCGCCUACGUGAAGUAGGAAUCGCUAGUAAUCGCAGGUCAGCAUACU